AUGCCUUGGCCUAAGAUCCAAAGCCUUAAGUGACUGGCCUUUGCCUCUUUGCCACUGGCAUGUCCUCGCUCUUUAUCCAAACACAGGUCAAGCCACAGAAGUUACUGGGAUUCCCAGAACGUAUUUGCAUGCGUUUCUGUCCCUGCGUCCAUCUCCAUUUUCUCCCAAGCAUUCUUUAAGCCCAAGUACCACAGUCAAUCUCUCUGACUCCUCCAAGAAAAGGCCAUUGCAGCCAUGAUUAGUGAAGGGCUGCAGAUACACAAGUAAGGUGGGAUGCACUGCAACUCACCUAGCAUCCUCCCAGGGCUUACUCUGCCAUAGGAUCUCUGGUGCCAGACCUAAAAAUGUGUGCGGAAGGAAUGGAGGCAGGUGGGACAUAUGUCUGAAGCCAAGGCCAGGAGCUCUCCAUUAUACCAUAUGGCCUCAAAGGCCCUCCUUGGUUCAAAGACACUUGAUGGAGCAUUUUGUAGAAACAUCAUCUCCUUGGCUUUGUUUAAAAUCAACAUC
rnacentral:lncRNA from 1 species